rnacentral:rRNA from 1 species
GACGUAGGGGACGAGCGUUGUCCGGAUUCAUUGGGCGUAAAGCGCGCGUAGGCGGCCCGGAAAGUCGGAUGUGAAAACCUGGGGCUCAACCCCAGGCGUGCACCCGAUACUCCCGGGCUGGAGGCAGGUAGGGGAGAUCGGAAUUCCUGGUGUAGCGGUGAAGUGCGCAGAUAUCAGGAGGAACACCGGUGGCGAAGGCGGAUCUCUGGGCCUUGCCUGACGCUGAGGCGCGAAAGCUAGGGGAGCGAACAGG